CAAGAACAAUAAUGAGACAAGACAAUUAGAUUCAAUCAAAUAUAUCAGUGUCUGCUCUAGUCAUUUCAACAUGGUUAAUUCUGUAUGAAUCAUUAGUGGCAUUCUGUUGUCAGCUAUAAGUAUGCAUAAAGGGAAUCAUCACAUUUUUUUAGCAAGGGACAAUGUCUUCUUCAUCCUGAGCCAUAGCAUCAAUUUCCUCGUUGCCUAUAGCCUCAUCUCCAGAGUAUGAAGCAUGUACCUGCAGCUUGAAUGGGAGCAUCGCCUUCCUUGCCAGCUGCGUUCUCACCUUCAGCAGAUAUGUUGAAGACGAGGGCAGAGUAGCUGGCCACGAGGACUGCUUGGUGAGAUGCAGAGGAUCUGCUUGCUUGUUGGAGAUGGCGGAGAGCUCCUUGCUUGUCGGAGAUGCGCAGGAAAUGGCUGCUU